GUCGGGCGUGGUGGCGGGCGCCUGUAAUCCCAGCCACUUGGAGGCUGAGGCAGGAGAAUCGCAUGAACCUGGGAGGCAGAGGUUGCAGUGAGCCGAGAUCACACCACUGCACUCCAGCCCAGACAACAGUGCGAGACUCUGUCUCAA
rnacentral:SRP_RNA from 1 species